rnacentral:rRNA from 1 species
GGAGAUAUACUCAAAGAGCACAACUCAUGUUUCACGCGUUGGUUCAAGCAGAAGCUUCUGUUGUACCCUUUACAUGAGGAUUCUUCCGCGGAAGAACAACUCAUAUUCGCCUUGUCACAGGGCGCCGAGCACAACCUGAUGACCUAUGAGGCGUACGAUAUCAAUGGCGACACAUUCUACACCGAGGCCAAGGACAUGAAGAGCGAUGGUUAUCAGAACUCCGGGGUAACGAUGGAAUCCUACACCGGUAACGACAAGGACAGAUACUACGGAAGGAUCAAGGAGAUCUGGGAACUGAGCUACGCUGGAGAGAAGGUCCCGAUGUUCCGUGUCAGAUGGGCCAAGAGCGUCCAAAAAGAAGACCGGUAUUUCACCACCAUGGUUAUACCCGAAGCCAAAUCCAAGACCGCGGGCGCAAACGUCACCGCGAAAAAUGAGCCAUGGGUACUG